UCGCCAUCGGUCAGAUCUCUGGCCGUUCAAUCGUUAAUCCAGCGUGAAUCGUGACACGCCCGCACGAGGUUGUCUGCUUGGGCCGUCGGGUUGGUUCUUGGAUGGUUUUUACGAGACAGCAGAACCCGGCUUCGGUUUUUAUUUGUGCUGUUUGGGCCGUCAUUCCCCUGCUCGUCUUGUUUGUGUCGUUGUCCACCGAAAGAGGCAGAGCUAGGGGAGGGCGGAGAGACCGCCGGGGAGACCGACGAAUUGAGGAAGCGGGGCGAGCUUUCGGCACCGGAGGGCUGGUCGCAUGGCCCGCUGCUCAUCUUCACCGACGGUUCAUUGACGACCACUUUCAAUCUCAAGAACACCAGCUGCUGCUCUUCCCAAAUACAGAACGACUUGAGGCUCCCGUCCCAUUUCUUGCCAAAAUGGUGUGACGUUUUUGUGUAGAAAGAAAGAUCAGGUGGAAACAAAAGAGCGGUAAUUCAAGGCAGAGAGAGAGAGAGAUUGUUCGGGGGAGGAGAUGACAUGCCUAGGCAGAGAAGCCCCAAGAUCCAAAGUUUUGCCUAUCAGCUGCUUCUUUUUUCAGUCUGAUGUGUUCUUCCUUGUUCCCCUCCAUGUUUAGUCUAGGAUCAAUUUCUUGCUCCUCUUUCUCGCUUUUUUCGUCUUCGAUUGUUUGAUCUGGAAGUUGUGCUCUCUGUGUGUGUCAAGGCUUGCUGGCUGUCGCCGCUGUCUGAUGGCGUGUUUGCAUGGGGAGGAAGAAGGGAGAAUGUUUUGCUUGCUGUGCUAUUGUUAAGAAAGGGCCAAUGAAACGAAGUCCCAAUUUCCCUGUCUAGUUUUUGCAAGCCCCAAAAUAUAAGUGGGGAUGCAGAUAUAGGAGGUUCCAAAUGCAGCGCAUGUUUUGUUGUUUUCACGGGCGGGAACUACCCUGAACUCUUGCCAGGGGAAAUCAGUGUCGUUGAAUUAAAAAAAAACGGCAGAAAAAAACCAGACUUCGUGUUUUUUAUGACAUUUUCUUUUCAUUGUUUUGCUCAGUGUGAUCCCUUUUUGAUCAGUUCAUCAUUGUUUAUCUCAGUCUUAUCUAUGAACUUUAGCUCAGUCUUAUCAGUUACCUUCUAUCAGUUUUUGUCUUUUGUUUAUCUCAGUCUUAUCUAUGAACUUUGUUGUUUUCACGGGCGGGAACUACCCUGAACUCUUGCCAGGGGAAAUCAGUGUCGUUGAAUUAAAAAAAAACGGCAGAAAAAAACCAGACUUCGUGUUUUUUAUGACAUUUUCUUUUUCAUUGUUUUGCUCAGUGUGAUCCCUUUUUGAUCAGUUCAUCAUUGUUUAUCUCAGUCUUAUCUAUGAACUUUAGCUCAGUCUUAUCAGUUACCUUCUAUCAGUUUUUGUCUUUUGUUUAUCUCAGUCUUAUCUAUGAACUUUAGCUCAGUCUUAUCAGUUACCUUCUCUCAGUUUUUGUCUUUCUUUUAGUUCAGUCUUAACUUUCAAGUAGUCAUGUGGCUAUCAUUUGCAGAUCAAGACAACUUGUGUGUGCUACAUGCUUGAUCAAGACAGAUGCAGAGAGGCAGUGAAAAGGAGAAGGGGGUGCGGGGUGACAUGUUGUGUAGAGUGUAUAUGAGAUCCAAAGAUCCCCACCUCGUUUUUCCUGUGUGCUAGCAGACGUUGAUGGAUGUUGGUGUCUAUGCGUGAGGAGGAAGAAGAGAGGAUGUUGUGGAUGCAGAUGAUAGUACGAGUCAAGAAAUGGAAGGCCGAGUUCUCCUAUUCGUGUUUAAGGCCCACAAAUAUUUAGCUGUGGCCCAGGUCGGCUACUUUCAGUCCCAUGUUUUCAUUUUUACAUGAUGUGAAAAUAGAGGCUGAAUUGAUUGGGAGUGUGAGUCGUGAAUGAAAAAACCAGGAAAAACCGGACUGAAACAAUAAACAAAUUGUUUUUUUACUAGGAAAA